UACGAGGGAUUACUUGUGAGAUCAAGCAUUGAGUAUAAAUUAGGAAAUGGUGUCUUUCCGCCAAGUGCUACAUUAACAUCCAAACAUUAACAUCUAAUCUCCAUUGCUGCUUCAUUUGUUCACCAAAUGCGCAAUCCAUGAGAUUUUCAUUAGGAGGCAUAGUUGUGCUGAACUGUUGGACAAGCUACUAAUGGACAUGAAAAUGGGUAGCUGCAAAACAACAGUCUAAUAUUGACCACGAAAUGGAAAAGGAGAAAAGCAACAUGAAUUGGGAAAAAGAAAGCGACAAUUUCAACGCAUGUAUCCUUCUAAGGAAAAGGGUAUGCAUCUUAUUCAUUUCAUCUACUCAGAGGAACAUGCUUCUUGUAAAAUGUCCAAUUUGCAACCGAAAGGUCUAUAUUAUGUGGUUCAGCGUAUAAGAGACAGGUCACCAUGUCAAAGAGAACGUAAACUUCAUAGCCGCAAGCUCUAACCUCUCAACAGUAUGCAUCUAGAAAACAAGACGCUUGGAACGAUUUGAUCUACACAUGCAUGAUAGUUUCUGAUAUAUGCUCCAGUUAAAGUUGCCACUUAAAAAAAAUGGAAACUACAGCCUAUUUUCCAAAAGGAUCAGAAAAUCAUGUUGCUGCAAAUAUAAACAGGGGAAUAACACUGAACAAAAAGUGAGCAUCUUUCGAUAUUUUAUGCAACACAGAUAUUGGGAGAUCAUGUAUCAACUUCAAAGACUUGUUUUUAACUGGCAUCUAAAUCUUUGAAGUUGAAAUAUGAUCUCCGAAGACACAUACAUGUUGAUCUGUAUAUCUUCAUGAACUAAGAUCUUUAAAGUCUACUUUCAUGCAAGGAAUAGGCUUGAACAGGAGGACUGAAAAUUACUAUGAACCAAGCUUGAGCUCAAGUUCCAAGAGCUUGACAAGCCUGAACUCAAGUUGGCCCUUAGAUCAAGUUGAGCUUGAGUAGAGCACCAGUUGGGCCCAAAUCAGCUCAAUUACAUCCCUACUACCCAUUGUCACUUGGUCUUGCCAGAUUGAUCAAUAUAAGUAUAAACUGGUUGUAAUUAUCUUUCCUAUUACCAGUGAGAAGAACUCUUAAGGAAAUCAGAUAACAGUGAAAAUUUUACUGCCUUUAGUAAGAGAAGUACAAAUAAAAAUAUGAAGUAAAUUCCAUUUGAUGCUGACUUAAUUAGCCAAUGACAUCAGGCAAAGCAAAAGGAACCCAGUCUCGAAGAGGGGGAAAAAUACUCAAAAUAUACAUGCCUAGCAUUAUCCUGAAAAUAUGACCUUUUCUUAGUAGCAUUGGAAAUGAAAUAUAUUUAAGGCAAUUCUUAACACCAUAGAUCUCUCCACAGAACAAUAUCAGAUAUAUAUACUCUGUCACUUGGAAUGACAAACCAAGACCAUCUAUAUUCAUCUCCUUCUAGUAAUAAUCUUAAGUUCAAUUCCAUAAAGCUAUUAGAUACCAAACCAUUUUAUUUAGUUUAGUUUAAAGAUGAACUUACCUUUUCCAAUUAUACAGCGCUUAAAGUCAUAUUGCUAAACUGCAAACAUAAUAGUUAGAUCCGAUAUUCUGUCAAUUACAUCCCUACUACCCAUUGUCACUUGGUCUUGCCAGAUUGAUCAAUAUAAGUAUAAACUGGUUGUAAUUAUCUUUCCUAUUACCAGUGAGAAGAACUCUUAAGGAAAUCAGAUAACAGUGAAAAUUUUACUGCCUUUAGUAAGAGAAGUACAAAUAAAAAUAUGAAGUAAAUUCCAUUUGAUUCUGACUUAAUUAGCCAAUGACAUCAGGCAAAGCAAAAGGAACCCAGUCUCGAAGAGGGGGAAAAAUACUCAAAAUAUACAUGCCUAGCAUUAUCCUGAAAAUAUGACCUUUUCUUAGUAGCAUUGGAAAUGAAAUAUAUUUAAGGCAAUUCUUAACACCAUAGAUCUCUCCACAGAACAAUAUCAGAUAUAUAUACUCUGUCACUUGGAAUGACAAACCAAGACCAUCUAUAUUCAUCUCCUUCUAGUAAUAAUCUUAAGUUCAAUUCCAUAAAGCUAUUAGAUACCAAACC
rnacentral:lncRNA from 1 species